rnacentral:rRNA from 1 species
UAACGCGUAUGCAACUUACCUAUCAGAGGGGGAUAGCCCGGCGAAAGUCGGAUUAAUACCCCAUAAAACAGGGGUCCCGCAUGGGAAUAUUUGUUAAAGAUUCAUCGCUGAUAGAUAGGCAUGCGUUCCAUUAGGCAGUUGGCGGGGUAACGGCCCACCAAACCGACGAUGGAUAGGGGUUCUGAGAGGAAGGUCCCCCACAUUGGUACUGAGACACGGACCAAACUCCUACGGGAGGCAGCAGUGAGGAAUAUUGGUCAAUGGCCGAGAGGCUGAACCAGCCAAGUCGCGUGAAGGAAGAAGGAUCUAUGGUUUGUAAACUUCUUUUAUAGGGGAAUAAAGUGGAGGACGUGUCCUUUUUUGUAUGUACCCUAUGAAUAAGCAUCGGCUAACUCCGUGCCAGCAGCCGCGGUAAUACGGAGGAUGCGAGCGUUAUCCGGAUUUAUUGGGUUUAAAGGGUGCGUAGGUGGUGAUUUAAGUCAGCGGUGAAAGUUUGUGGCUCAACCAUAAAAUUGCCGUUGAAACUGGGUUACUUGAGUGUGUUUGAGGUAGGCGGAAUGCGUGGUGUAGCGGUGAAAUGCAUAGAUAUCACGCAGAACUCCGAUUGCGAAGGCAGCUUACUAAACCAUAACUGACACUGAAGCACGAAAGCGUGGGGAUCAAACAGGAUUAGAUACCCUGGUAGUCCACGCAGUAAACGAUGAUUACUAGGAGU